AUUGAACGCUGGCGGCAGGCCUAACACAUGCAAGUCGAGCGGAUGAAGGGAGCUUGCUCCUGGAUUCAGCGGCGGACGGGUGAGUAAUGCCUAGGAAUCUGCCUGGUAGUGGGGGAUAACGUCCGGAAACGGGCGCUAAUACCGCAUACGUCCUGAGGGAGAAAGAGGGGGAUCUUCGGACCUCACGCUAUCAGAUGAGCCUAGGUCGGAUUAGCUAGUUGGUGGGGUAAAGGCCUACCAAGGCGACGAUCCGUAACUGGUCUGAGAGGAUGAUCAGUCACACUGGAACUGAGACACGGUCCAGACUCCUACGGGAGGCAGCAGUGGGGAAUAUUGGACAAUGGGCGAAAGCCUGAUCCAGCAAUGCCGCGUGUGUGAAGAAGGUCUUCGGAUUGUAAAGCACUUUAAGUUGGGAGGAAGGGCAGUAAGUUAAUACCUUGCUGUUUUGACGUUACCAACAGAAUAAGCACCGGCUAACUUCGUG
rnacentral:rRNA from 1 species